rnacentral:rRNA from 1 species
CAGUCGCCACGGUAAUACGAAGGGUGCAAGCGUUAAUCGGAAUUACUGGGCGUAAAGCGUGCGUAGGCGGUGAGUUAAGUCUGCUGUGAAAUCCCCGGGCUCAACCUGGGAAUGGCAGUGGAUACUGGCUCGCUAGAGUGUGUCAGAGGAUGGUGGAAUUCCCGGUGUAGCGGUGAAAUGCGUAGAGAUCGGGAGGAACAUUAGUGGCGAAGGCGGCCAUCUGGGACAACACUGACGCUGAGGCACGAAAGCGUGGGGAGCAAACGGGAUUAGAUACCCCAGUAGUCCCUGUCUCUUAUAA